rnacentral:rRNA from 1 species
CCUACGGGAGGCUGCAGUGAGGAAUAUUGGUCAAUGGACGAGAGUCUGAACCAGCCAAGUAGCGUGAAGGAUGACUGCCCUAUGGGUUGUAAACUUCUUUUAUAAAGGAAUAAAACGAGGCACGUGUGCCUUUUUGCAUGUACUUUAUGAAUAAGGAUCGGCUAACUCCGUGCCAGCAGCCGCGGUAAUACGGAGGAUCCGAGCGUUAUCCGGAUUUAUUGGGUUUAAAGGGAGCGUAGAUGGGUUGUUAAGUCAGUUGUGAAAGUUUGCGGCUCAACCGUAAAAUUGCAAUUGAUACUGGCAGUCGUGAGGACAGUUGAGGUAGGCGGAAUUCGUGGUGUAGCGGUGAAAUGCUUAGAUAGCAAGAAGAACCCCGAGUGAGAAGGCGGCUUACUAGACUGUAACUGACGUUGAGGCUCGAAAGCGUGGGGAGCAAACAGGAUUAGAUACCCGGGUAGUC